UACGUAGGGGGCAAGCGUUUGUCCGGAUUUAUUGGGCGUAAAGAGCUCGUAGGCGGUGUGUCACGUCGGCCGUGAAAACCUGCAGCUUAACUGUGGGCGUGCGGUCGAUACGGGCAUCACUGGAGUUCGGCAGGGGAGACUGGAAUUCCUGGUGUAGCGGUGAAAUGCGCAGAUAUCAGGAGGAACACCGGUGGCGAAGGCGGGUCUCUGGGCCGAUACUGACGCUGAGGAGCGAAAGCGUGGGGAGCGAACAGG
rnacentral:rRNA from 1 species